UGGUUCCAGCAUCGAUGAAGAACGCAGCGAAAUGCGAUAAAUAAUGUGAAUUGCAGAAUUCCGUGAAUCAUCGAGUUUUUGAACGCACAUUGCACUCCUUGGUAUUCCGAGGAGUACGCCUGUUCGAGCGUCAUUAAACCAUCAAGCUCUGCUUGGAUUUGAAUCACUGUCGGCGGCAGGAUUCCAAUAUCAUAGGCAAUUGACCAUCUGUGAUGACUCACUGGGAGUUAAUUCGCCUGAAACUUAUUUCCAAAGUUGACCUCGGAUCAGGCGGGGAUACCCGCUGA
rnacentral:misc_RNA from 1 species